rnacentral:lncRNA from 1 species
CCUUAAAGCCUCCACCAACAAUAUUGAGAAUAUUCUUAAUGCUGAAGCAUAAGGAAGAGGAUUCAUGGACUUCAAAUAUAGGCAUAUACAUAACAGCAUUUAAGUAAUUGGCUUUAAAUAUAUUUUAGGGAGUUGGGAUGGGGGAAAUACAUUCUUAAAAUGGUAUAUCUCAGAGGAUAUGCAGAGGUGUUAAUAAACGUGCUGACUCAGCAGUGAACUGCAGAAUGGCAAUGGGAUAUUAUUUUAAUGAUGCUAGAGCUGAAAUGCAUCAUUCCUGAGAUUAGCAUAUCUGUUAAAAAAACACAUUCAGCAAUCCAAGCUAAAGCAUUUUGCCAGUGGUCAGCAGAAAGAGGGUUUUUGCCAGUUUAUUAGUUAAAAAUUAAGUCUCUUUAAUUAGUUCAUCCAUCAGAAAGUUAUUUAGUACUGAUGGCAAACCAGGUACUUAGGAUACUGUAAUGAACAAAAUCCAGCUUCUACCCUUAAAAAUGUCAUAGUUUAAAAGGGAAUACAAACAAAACAGCUAGUAAUUUCCAUCCAGGGUGAAUUAUGCCAUGAUAGAGAUAAAUAAGUAU